AAAUAGAUACCCAGGUAGUCCACGCCGUAAACGAUGAGUGCUAAGUGUUGGGGGGUUUCCGCCCCUCAGUGCUGCAGCUAACGCAUUAAGCACUCCGCCUGGGGAGUACGGUCGCAAGACUGAAACUCAAAGGGAAUUGACGGGGGCCCGCACAAGCGGUGGAGCAUGUGGUUUAAUUCGAAGCAACGCGAAGAACCUUACCAGGUCUUGACAUCCCGGUGACCACUAUGGAGACAUAGUUUCCCCUUCGGGGGCAACGGUGACAGGUGGUGCAUGGUUGUCGUCAGCUCGUGUCGUGAGAUGUUGGGUUAAGUCCCGCAACGAGCGCAACCCUUAUUCUUAGUUGCCAUCAUUCAGUUGAGCACUCUAAGGAGACUGCCGGUGAUAAACCGGAGGAAGGUGGGGAUGACGUCAAAUCAUCAUGCCCCUUAUGACCUGGGCUACACACGUGCUACAAUGGACGGUACAAACGGUUGCCAACCCGCGAGGGGGAGCUAAUCCGAUAAAACCGUUCUCAGUUCGGAUUGUAGGCUGCAACUCGCCUAC
rnacentral:rRNA from 1 species